UACGUAGGGUGCAAGCGUUAAUCGGAAUUACUGGGCGUAAAGGGUGCGCAGGCGGUUAAUUAAGUCUGACGUGAAAUACCUGGGCUUAACCUGGGAAUGGCGUUGGAUACUGAUUAGCUAGAGUGUAUCAGAGGGGGGUAGAAUUCCACGUGUAGCAGUGAAAUGCGUAGAGAUGUGGAGGAAUACCGAAGGCGAAGGCAGCCCCCUGGGAGAACACUGACGCUCAGGCACGAAAGCGUGGGGAGCAAACAGG
rnacentral:rRNA from 1 species